GGUGCCCCGUGGAAGGGAACGCUCCGUACGAAGUGCAAGUCCGAUAUCGGACCUCCAGCCCUUACAGCGACUGGAGCGACUGGAGCCGGUCUGCCUUCGUUCCAGCCAAACUCCUCAGGAGCCCAGAACUCAGUUGCCGCGCAGAGCCCCUUGGGGAAAACGGCCGCAGGAAGGUGACCCUGGAGUGGGAGAAGCCCAGCCGGGAACAAGGGGAGGUGAGCUACGACUUGACGUUUGCCCUGCUUCCCUGCUUCUGCCUGGACGAACCGGAGACCAUAUUUGAGAAGAUAAACGUGACUUCCUUCCAAACCUUUCUGUCGGGGGCUGAGUACAACAUCUCCCUGCAAGCCGACAAUGGGGCCAGCCAGUCCCCGGCCUCCUUUUGCAGGCUCCCGGCGGAGCAAAACGCAGUCGGUCCCACCUUCCAGGAGGUCAUCCAGUCCGGCAGGAACUUCUCAGUGACUUGGGGGACGAAGCACGAGGUCAUCUGUUUCGAAAAGGACCCGGGAAGGUCCUGCGAGGACAGCGACAACCAAGAGGUCAACGAGACCAGCUGGUCAGGCAGGUUCUCUUCCACUGGCCUCUUAUUUGUGUUUCUUUUGAAAGAUAAGAACGGAUAAACCACCGCACAAACUCUCAAAACGACAAAUGGGUUU